GCUUGGCUGGUUCAGUUGGUGGAGUGUGCGACUCUUGAUCUCAGGGUCAUGGGUUCAAGUCCCAUGUUCGGUG
rnacentral:tRNA from 1 species